UACAGAGGGUGCAAGCGUUAAUCGGAAUUACUGGGCGUAAAGCGUGCGUAGUCGGUUAUCUAAGUCGGGUGUGAAAUCCCCGGGCUCAACCUGGGAAUUGCAUUCGAUACUGGAUAGCUAGAGUUCGGCAGAGGGAAGCGGAAUUUCCGGUGUAGCGGUGAAAUGCGUAGAUAUCGGAAGGAACAUCAGUGGCGAAAGCGGCUUCCUGGACCAGUACCGACGUUCAGGCACGAAAGCGUGGGGAGCAAACAGG
rnacentral:rRNA from 1 species